rnacentral:tmRNA from 1 species
CACCUAGAUUUCCGUCGUCAUCCCCCCUAUAUUCAUCCUGUCGCAAGACGAUGGCGCUGAACCUCACGAUGGACCGCAGGCAGACCCGGGGGCAGUACCCGGCGCCUCCACCUCAGCAGCUUCUGGCUUUUCUCAGGGAAGUCGGUCGCAGGGCUGCUUAGGCGGGGGCGAAACAGGAUCGAUGGCUGCGAAGAAGUCGCGAAUUGUGCUCGGCAUGAUACCGCCGUUAUCGGGUCAAAAACCUAAAUGCCAACGAUAACGUUAGCAUGAACGAAGUGCGCCUCGCGGCGUAACCGUUCGGGGUUGGUCCACCUAGCAACAGAACGGCCGGCCG